CCAAUAGCGUAUAUUUAAGUUGUUGCAGUUAAAAAGCUCGUAGUUGAACUUCGGGGUUUACCCAUUGGUCAGGCUUAAUUGUCUGUACUGGUGAGAUGAAUCUCUACCUUCUGAGGAACUUUCAUGCCAUUUAUUUGGUGUGAUGGGAAAUCAGGACUGUUACUUUGAAAAAAUUAGAGUGUUUAAAGCAGGCUAACGUCUGAAUACAUUAGCAUGGAAUAAUGAAAUAGGACGGACUGAUUCUAUUUCGUUGGUUUCUAGGAUCACCGUAAUGAUUAAUAGGGAUAGUUGGGGGCAUUAGUAUUCAAUUGUCAGAGGUGAAAUUCUUGGAUUUAUUGAAGACUAGCUACUGCGAAAGCAUUUGCCAAGGAUGUUUUCAUUAAUCAAGAACGAAAGUUAGGGGAUCGAAGACGAUCAGAUACCGUCGUAGUCUUAACCAUAAACUAUGCCGACUAGGGAUCGGACGAAGUUAAUUUUAUAAUGACGCGUUCGGCACCUUACG
rnacentral:rRNA from 1 species